AUACGGAGGGUGCAAGCGUUAUUCGGAAUCACUGGGCGUAAAGGACACGUAGGCGGGAAGCCAAGUCUGAUGUGAAAUCCUACAGCUUAACUGUAGAACUGCAUUGGAAACUGGUUACCUAGAGUAUGGGAGGGGGAGAUGGAAUUAGUGGUGUAGGGGUAAAAUCCGUAGAUAUCACUAGGAAUACCUAAAGCGAAGGCGAUCUCCUGGAACAUUACUGACGCUAAGGUGUGAAAGCGUGGGGAGCAAACGGGAGUAGAUACCCUAGUAGUCC
rnacentral:rRNA from 1 species